rnacentral:rRNA from 1 species
UACAGAGGGUGCGAGCGUUGUUUCGGAAUUUUAUUUGGGCGAAAAGGGCGCGUAGGCGGGCUGCCGCGUCCGGGGUGAAAUCCUCCCGCUCAACGGGAGAACGGCCUCGGAUACGGGCGGCCUCGAGGGGUAGGGGCAUCUGGAACUGUGAGUGGAGCGGUGAAAUGCGUUGAUAUUCACAGGAACUCCGGUGGCGAAGGCGAGGUGCUGGACCCCAUCUGACGCUGAGGCGCGAA